AGUUUGAUCCUGGCUCAGAUUGAACGCUGGCGGCAGGCCUAACACAUGCAAGUCGAGCGGAUGAGUGGAGCUUGCUCCAUGAUUCAGCGGCGGACGGGUGAGUAAUGCCUAGGAAUCUGCCUGGUAGUGGGGGACAACGUUUCGAAAGGAACGCUAAUACCGCAUACGUCCUACGGGAGAAAGUGGGGGAUCUUCGGACCUCACGCUAUCAGAUGAGCCUAGGUCGGAUUAGCUAGUUGGUGAGGUAAAGGCUCACCAAGGCGACGAUCCGUAACUGGUCUGAGAGGAUGAUCAGUCACACUGGAACUGAGACACGGUCCAGACUCCUAGGGGAGGCAGCAGUGGGGAAUAUUGGACAAUGGGCGAAAGCCUGAUCCAGCCAUGCCGCGUGUGUGAAGAAGGUCUUCGGAUUGUAAAGCACUUUAAGUUGGGAGGAAGGCAGUAAGUUAAUACCUUGCUGUUUUGACGUUACCAACAGAAUAAGCACCGCUAACUUCGUGCCAGCAAGCCGCGGUAAUACGAAGGGUGCAAGCCGUUAAUCGGAAUUACUGGCCGUAAAGCGCGCGUAGGUGGUCGUUAAAGUUGAUGUGAAAGCCCCGGCUCAACCUGGGAACUGCAUCCAAACUGGCGAGCUAGAGUAUGGCAGAGGGUGUGGAAUUCCUGUGACCGAAGCCUAAUC
rnacentral:rRNA from 1 species